UACGGAGGAUCCAAGCGUUAUCCGGAUUUACUGGGCGUAAAGGGCGCGUAGGCGGCAAUUCAAGUCAUCUGUGAAAUCUCCGGGCUUAACCCGGAACGGUCAGAUGAUACUGCUUUGCUAGAGUGCGGAAGGGGCAAUCGGAAUUCUUGGUGUAGCGGUGAAAUGCGUAGAUAUCAAGAGGAACACCUGAGGUGAAGACGGGUUGCUGGGCCGACACUGACGCUGAUAGCGCGAAAGCCAGGGGAGCAAACGGG
rnacentral:rRNA from 1 species